CGUUAUCNGGAAUUACUCGGGCGUUAAGCGUUCGUAGGCGGUUUGUUAAGUUAGAUGUGAAAGCCCCGGGCUUAACCUGGGAACUGCAUUUAAAACUGGCAAACUCGAGUUUAGGAGAGGGAAGUGGAAUUUCAGGUGUAGCAGUGAAAUGCGUAGAGAUCUGAAGGAACACCAGUGGCGAAGGCGACUUCCUGGACUAAAACUGACGCUGAGGAACGAAAGCGUGGGUAGCAAACGGGAUUAGAUACCCCGGUAGUCCACGCCGUAAACGAUGUCAACUAGCCGUUGGGCCUAUAUACAGGUUUAGUGGCGGAGCUAACGUAUUAAGUUGACCGCCUGGGGAGUACGGCCGCAAGGUUAAAACUCAAAUGAAUUGACGGGGGCCCGCACAAGCGGUGGAGCAUGUGGUUUAAUUCGAUGCAACGCGAAGAACCUUACCUACCCUUGACAUCCAGAGAAUCUGUUAGAGAUAGUAGAGUGCCUUCGGGAGCUCUGAGACAGGUGCUGCAUGGCUGUCGUCAGCUCGUGUCGUGAGAUGUUGGGUUAAGUCCCGUAACGAGCGCAACCCUUAUCCUUAGUUGCUAGCAGGUCAAGCUGAGAACUCUAAGGAGACUGCCGGUGAUA
rnacentral:rRNA from 1 species